rnacentral:rRNA from 1 species
CGUACACUCCUGCGGGAGGCAGCAGUGGGGAAUAUUGGACAAUGGGCGCAAGCCUGAUCCAGCCAUGCCGCGUGAGUGAUGAAGGCCCUAGGGUUGUAAAGCUCUUUCACCGGUGAAGAUAAUGACGGUAACCGGAGAAGAAGCCCCGGCUAACUUCGUGCCAGCAGCCGCGGUAAUACGAAGGGGGCUAGCGUUGUUCGGAUUUACUGGGCGUAAAGCGCACGUAGGCGGACUAUUAAGUCAGGGGUGAAAUCCCGGGGCUCAACCCCGGAACUGCCUUUGAUACUGGUAGUCUUGAGUUCGAGAGAGGUGAGUGGAAUUCCGAGUGUAGAGGUGAAAUUCGUAGAUAUUCGGAGGAACACCAGUGGCGAAGGCGGCUCACUGGCUCGAUACUGACGCUGAGGUGCGAAAGCGUGGGGAGCAAACAGGAUUAGAUACCCGAGUAGUCCCA